AUCCGCACGAGCGCACCCCUUGUCCUUAGUUGCCAGCGCGUUAAUGGCGGGGCACUCUAAGGAGACUGCCGGUGACAAACCGGAGGAAGGUGGGGAUGAGGUCAAGCUCAUCAUGGCCCUUAUGGGUAGGGCUACACACGUGCUACAAUGGACAGUACAGAGGGAUGCGAAGCCGCGAGGUGGAGCCAAUCCCAGAAAGCUGUUCUCAGUCCGGAUUGAAGUCUGAAACUCGACUCCAUGAAGUCGGAAUCGCUAGUAAUCGCGAAUCAGCAUGUCGCGGUGAAUACGUUCCCGGGCCUUGUACACACCGCCCGUCAAACCAUGGGAGUGGGCUGCACCAGAAGUGGGUAGACUAACCUUUUUAGGAGGUCGCUCACCACGGUGUGGUUCAUGACUGGGGUUAAGUCGUAACAAGGUAGCCGUAGGGGAACCUGCGGCUGGAUCACCUCCUU
rnacentral:rRNA from 1 species